UUUAUCUCCUGAGGAAUUUCCUGGGUAAACAGUCAUAUAAAAGAACACGGUAACAUAGGAAAUCAUGUGUAUACAUUGUAUACAAUGUAGAGGUUUGGUUUGAAGUAGUAGCAAGAUCCAAUAAUGCCAGCUUCACUGUCCUCCAUUAUAUCUCUCCAUUCUGAUCCCAGACAGACAGCCUUCCCUGCUGACAGAAACUGUAGACCUACAGGGUUCGGCCUCUCUCACAGCUGCUCAGUCCCCAUUCGUGUUACUGCCUGGAAGGUUCCCAUUCAGCUCCUCGAUUGCCUCUCCUUGAAGUUCAUUGGGAUUUUUGGCAAAUAGAAUCCCACCCAGCCCUCCACACAAGUCAGGCAUGACUUGCACACAAUAGCUGUGUGAUACGGGUCCUUGCUCUACAACUGCCACAGGCUCCUUAUACUGCUUAGUGAUUUCGUUGCUAUGGGAACAAGGAGGUCUGCAUAAAGCUCAAGCGUGAUGUCAAAUUAGGAAAUGAUCUGAAUUUGUCCUAUGGCUUCAGAAGAAUACAAGGAGAAAUACAACAUCCCAAUGUUGCAAUGUGCUUAGAUAAACACAAAUCUCGAA